UUUUUCUUUUACUCCUUGACGACUUCUUCAGCCCCAAAUCAAAAGUAACAGCCACAAAAAUGCCCCUCUGCUCCGCUGCUGCGGCAGCAGCAACCCACCUGACUGCCGGAAAAUCAAGAUUCAGCCUCGGAACCUCAGGUCAUGCGAUCUUCUUCUCCUCCUGUUCAUCAUUUUGCAGCAAGUAUUAUAGGCAACAAUGAAGAUAUCUGAACACAUCUUUUACUUUACUUCCUCCUUCGAUUUCGGUCAGUCUCCAAGCAAUGGCUCUCAAUCAUUUGCAGCCCCAUUUUCAGCCAGUCUCCAUUCUGGAUUUUAUUCCUCCACCACCACCACCGCAACUUGUUCCUCCUGUAAAGAUGCUGCGUUCGUUUUCGUUGAACUCGAAAGGGACAGGCUGAAUUUCAUCUCCUUCCUCCAAGACUAUGCAUGUUCAGCGGGUAUAUAGUGUUUCUGACUUGAACAAUUUCAGUUUCUUUGAAGGUCGGCAGGUUCAUGGGUUAAAUUAUAGCAAUGGGUAUUAUCAAAGGACCCGAUAGAUUUUUUGUUUGCUGCUAAACUACUGGCUGCUAAACAGGUCUGGCACACCUGUGACGUAUUCAAGUUGGAAGUUGCUUGAAUUAUUCUUAUAGGUUAAUUUGUGUGAACCUCUCUGAUUAAAAGCUGGUGUCGCUCUGAAUCUAAAUGCUGUACCCUACAGUGCUGUAAGAGGGAUGCAUGCAAUCGAGGGGUUUUUCAAUGACAGUGAGAAACCAAGUAUUGGCGUAUCAGCUAGACUUCUGCUCAUUUCUUUGGUACAGGUUACCAUAAUUUCUUGAUCUGUGUGUCUUUAGAAAAUAGUCAGAGGAGGUUUUGAUGAUUCUUCAGCCCCAAAAGUAAAAUCAACAGCCAGAACCCAGCUCCUCUGCUGUAGCUGAAACCUAGCUGAUUGCCCAAAAAUAAAUUACUCAGCCUCAGAAUCUUAGUCAUGGAACCUUCUCCUUCUCUUCCUCUUAUUGAUUUUGCUGCACGUAUUAUAGGCAACAAUGAGGAAAUCUUAACUCAUCUUUUAGUUCACCUACCCCCAAAAUCCCUCCUCCAGUUUCAGUCUGUCUCCAAGCAAUGGUUCUCAAUUAUUUUCAUCCCCUUUUAGAUGUCUGCAUUCUCGGCUUUAUCCCAGCACCACUACCAUGGCUUCCUCCUCUGGCACUACCACCGACUCUGGUGCCCUUAUUUUCGUCCAUCAUGGGCAGGGCAAGCUUAAUUUCAUCUUCUACCACCAAGAAAAUGCAAGUCCAUUGGGUACCAUUAUAUCCGACUUGAGCAAUUUCAGUUUCUUUCAAGGUGUGUACUUGGAGAAAUUACAUCGUUGCAAUGGGUUAUUAGCUCGUCUUUGGGUCAAAACUUUAUGGUCAAAAAAAGUUUGUGUAUAACCCUACUACCCGUGAGCAUAGGCGUAUUCCAAGGCUCAAAUCUAAUGGAAAGGGACCUUCGCUUUUUUGCUUUGAACAUUGUGUUUGAUCCUGUAAAAUCUCAUCACUACAAUCUUGUCUGUGUAUGGUCAGAGGAAUCUUGCAUGGAAAGGUAUGAAUUGAGUCAAGCCCCUCUAGGGAGAUAUGGAUUUUCUAUACAUUCAUCUGAAACUGGGAUUUGGAGGGACAGUGAGGUCACAUAUGAGAGGGAGAAAGUGUAUAUUUAUUUCACGAAUGGAGUGUUAUGGAAUGGUAAUCUUCAUUAGAUAAGUGGUUGGAGGGACACUCUGUGCUUUGAUUUAGAUAAAGAAUGCCUGAAUUUGACCAUGCCAUCUCCUCAUAUGCGCCAUAGGGAUGUGUAUUUUUGGUACUUUGGAGUGUCUGGAGGCUGUUUGUAUUUUAUUGAGGUUAAUAAUCAUCAAUCUCUGUUGUUUGACAUUUUUGAGAUGAAAAGGGAAUAUUCUGAAUGGGCUUUGAAGUACCACAUAGACCUUAUCCUCUGUCGAUUUUGUAUCCUUCAAUGGUGGGCGAAGUCCUUGGUCCGUUUGAUCAGGAUCUAUGUAGAUUUUACAUGUGUUGUUUUCUUGAGGAUGAGAAAGAAAAGAAACCGAGGCUUGUGAUCUCUCUGCCGGGUAAGGUAAUUUUGUACGACUUUAAGGAUGAGGAUGCUAAGGAGCUAGUUGAAGCAGGGCCCAAUGAUAUUGAUCGUGGCUGGAAUAACUAUUAUGACUGGACAGAAGCCUACCAGUUCAUGCAGAUGCUUGCUAAUGUCUGAUUCCUUUCUGUAGCAUGCUCCUACAUGUUGAAGGGGCUGGCUUGAUGUACUUAAUAUCACUCUCCCAUUUGAACAUUUUAAGAUUUGUAAAUUUGCAUGAUAUCUUUUACAAAAUUAAAUGUGGGAUUUAAGUUAUGGUUGCAGAAUGCUUGGAGUAUGAAUAUUGUGAAUUCCUU